rnacentral:rRNA from 1 species
UACGAAGGGGGCUGGCGUUGUUCGGAUUUACUGGGCGUAAAGCGCACGUAGGCGGAUCGUUAAGUCGGGGGUGAAAUCCUGGAGCUCAACUCCAGAACUGCCUUCGAUACUGGCGAUCUUGAGUCCGGAAGAGGUGAGUGGAACUCCUAGUGUAGAGGUGGAAUUCGUAGAUAUUAGGAAGAACACCAGUGGCGAAGGCGGCUCACUGGUCCGGUACUGACGCUGAGGUGCGAAAGCGUGGGGAGCAAACAGG